GAUCCAGCCAUGCCGCGUGAGUGAAGAAGGCCUUCGGUUGUAAAGCUCUUCGGCCGGGAAGAAAUCGCAUGGGUCAAUACCCUGUGUGGAUGACGGUACCGGAAUAAGAAGCACCGGCUAACUACGUGCCAGCAGCCGCGGUAAUACGUAGGGUGCGAGCGUUAAUCGGAAUUACUGGGCGUAAAGCGUGCGCAGGCGGUUUGGUAAGUCAGAUGUGAAAUCCCCGGGCUCAACCUGGGAACUGCAUUUGAGACUGCCAAGCUGGAGUUUGGCAGAGGGGGGUGGAAUUCCACGUGUAGCAGUGAAAAUGCGUAGAGAUGUGGAGGAACACCGAUGGCGAAGGCAGCCCCCUCGGGGCCAAAUAACUGACGCUCAUGCACGAAAAGCGUGGGGGAGCAAAACAGGAUUAGA
rnacentral:rRNA from 1 species